CCCUUAGAUGUCCUGGGCCGCACGCGCGCUACACUGACAUGUUCAACAAGCCUCCUAGUUCGACAGGAUUUGGGAAAUCUUUGAACGCAUGUCGUGAUAGGGAUAGAUCAUUGCAAUUAUUGAUCUUGAACGAGGAAUUCCUAGUAAACGCGAGUCAUCAGCUCGCAUUGAUUACGUCCCUGCCCUUUGUACACACCGCCCGUCGCACCUACCGAUUGAAUGUUUCGGUGAAGAUUCGGAUAGGACUUUUUUGAUUUAUUUCAAUUCUGUCUUAAAAGCUAUCUAAACCUCAACAUUUAGAGGAAGGUGAAGUCGUAACA
rnacentral:rRNA from 1 species